rnacentral:rRNA from 1 species
UCUUCCGCAAUGGACGAAAGUCUGACGGAGCAACGCCGCGUGAGUGAUGAAGGUUUUCGGAUCGUAAAACUCUGUUGUUAGGUAAGAACAAGUACCGUUCGAAUAGGGCGGUACCUUGACGGUACCUAACCAGAAAGCCACGGCUAACUACGUGCCAGCCGCCGCGGUAAUAUGUAGGUGGCAAGCGUUGUGCGGGAUUAUUGGGCGGAAAGCGCGCGCAGGCGGUUUCUUAAGUAUGAUGUGAAAGCCCCCGGCGCAACCGGGGAGGGUCAUUGGAAACUGGGGAACUUGAGUGCAGAAGAGGAGAGUGGAAUUCCACGUGUAGCGGUGAAAUGCGUAGAGAUGUGGAGGAACACCAGUGGCGAAGGCGACUCUCUGGUCUGUAACUGACGCUGAGGCGCGAAAGCGUGGGGAGCGAACAG